rnacentral:tRNA from 1 species
ACCUGGGUGGCUCAGUCGGUUGAGCGUCUGACUUCAGCUCAGGUCAUGAUCUCACAGUUCGUGGGUUCGAGCCCCAUGUCAGGCU